AGAGUUUGAUCCUGGCUCAGGACGAACGCUGGCGGCGUGCUUAACACAUGCAAGUCGAACGGAAAGGCCAAAGCUUGCUUUGGUACUUGAGUGGCGAACGGGUGAGUAACACGUGGGUGAUCUGCCCCUAACUUCGGGAUAAGCUUGGGAAACUGGGUCUAAUACCGGAUAGGACCAUGAUUUAGUGUUCAUGGUGGAAAGUUUUUCGGUUAGGGAUGAGCCCGCGGCCUAUCAGCUUGUUGGUGGGGUAAUGGCCUACCAAGGCGUCGACGGGUAGCCGGCCUGAGAGGGUGAUCGGCCACAUUGGGACUGAGAUACGGCCCAGACUCCUACGGGAGGCAGCAGUGGGGAAUAUUGCACAAUGGGCGCAAGCCUGAUGCAGCGACGCCGCGUGGGGGAUGACGGCCUUCGGGUUGUAAACCUCUUUCGACAGGGACGAAGCGCAAGUGACGGUACCUGUAUAAGAAGCACCGGCUAACUACGUGCCAGCAGCCGCGGUAAUACGUAGGGUGCGAGCGUUGUCCGGAUUUACUGGGCGUAAAGAGCUCGUAGGUGGUUUGUCGCGUCGUCUGUGAAAUCCCGGGGCUUAACUUCGGGCGUGCAGGCGAUACGGGCAUAACUUGAGUGCUGUAGGGGAGACUGGAAUUCCUGGUGUAGCGGUGGAAUGCGCAGAUAUCAGGAGGAACACCGAUGGCGAAGGCAGGUCUCUGGGCAGUAACUGACGCUGAGGAGCGAAAGCAUGGGGAGCGAACAGGAUUAGAUACCCUGGUAGUCCAUGCCGUAAACGGUGGGCGCUAGGUGUAGGGGUCUUCCACGACUUCUGUGCCGUAGCUAACGCAUUAAGCGCCCCGCCUGGGGAGUACGGCCGCAAGGCUAAAACUCAA
rnacentral:rRNA from 1 species